CUACGGGGGGCAGCAGUGGGGAAUAUUACACAAUGGAGGAAACUCUGAUGUAGCAACGCCGCGUGGAGGAUGACACAUUUCGGUGCGUAAACUCCUUUUAUAUGGGAAGAUAAUGACGGUACCAUAUGAAUAAGCACCGGCUAACUCCGUGCCAGCAGCCGCGGUAAUACGGAGGGUGCAAGCGUUACUCGGAAUCACUGGGCGUAAAGCGCGCGCAGGAGGCUUUGUAAGUUGGAUGUGAAAUCCUAUGGCUCAACCAUAGAACUGCAUCCAAAACUACUUAGCUAGAGUCUGGGAGGGGAAGAUGGAAUUAGUGGUGUAGGGGUAAAAUCCGUAGAGAUCACUAGGAAUACCAAAAGCGAAGGCGAUCUUCUGGAACAGUACUGACGCUGAGGCGCGAAAGCGUGGGGAGCAAACAGGAUUAGAUACCCCUGUAGUC
rnacentral:rRNA from 1 species